rnacentral:rRNA from 1 species
UAAUUUUUUCUAUUAGGGAUAAGCUUAAUAGAAUUUCUUUAAAUAAAAAUUAUUUAUUUAAAUAAGGAAUAAAAUUUUCUAAGUUUUUUUGUAAAAAAUUUUUUUAUUAUUCAAGUUAUGUAAGAUUUUUAUAUGAUUAAAUUAAUUUUUUUUUUAAUAAAAUUAUUAAAAAAUUAGUAAAUUUAAAAAAAAAGUAAUGAAAAAUUAAAAUAUAUUAAUAAAAUGAAAAUUUAAUUAUAGUAAUUCGGCAAAUUAAUUUAAUUGACUGUUUAUCAAAAACAUUUCAUCUUGAAAAGUAAUAAGAUGUAUAAUCUGCUCAAUGAUUUUUUAAAUUGCUGUGGUAUUUUGACUAUACAAAGGUAUUGAAAUAAGAUUUUAAAUGAGUGCUAAGAGAAUGAUUAAACAAUUAAAAGCUUUCUUUAAUUAAAAAAUUAAAUUUAAUUUUUUUAGUGCAAAAGCAAAAAUAAAAUUUAGGGACAAGAAGACCCUAUGAAUUUUUAUUGUUAAUAAUAAAAAUUUAAGUUAUUAAUAAUUUAAUUGGGGCGAUAAAAAAAGAAUAAGUAUCUUUUUAGUUAUAAAAUAAGUUCCGUUUUUAGCGAUUAAAUGAAAUAAAUACUCUAGGGAUAACAGCGUAAUAAUUUUGGAUAGUUCAUAUAGAUAAAAUAGUUUGCGACCUCGAUGUUGGAUUAGGAUUC